rnacentral:rRNA from 1 species
GAUGAACGCUAGCGACAGGCUUAACACAUGCAAGUCGAGGGGCAGCGGGGGAGUAGCAAUACUCCCGCCGGCGACCGGCGCACGGGUGAGUAACACGUAUGAAACCUGCCCGUAGCAGGGGGAUAAGCGGAAGAAAUUCCGUCUAAUACCGCGUAACAACCCUUGGAGGCAUCUCCCCGGGGUGUAAAGGAAGCGAUUCCGGCUACGGAUGGUCAUGCGUCGCAUUAGCUAGUUGGCGGGGUAACGGCCCACCAAGGCGACGAUGCGUAGGGGUUCUGAGAGGAAGGUCCCCCACACUGGUACUGAGACACGGACCAG